AUGGUUGCAAACGACCUAGGUGAACCUGCGGAAGGAUCAUUACCGAGUGUAGGGUUCCUAGCGAGCCCAACCUCCCACCCGUGUUUACUGUACCUUAGUUGCUUCGGCGGGCCCGCCAUUCAUGGCCGCCGGGGGCUCUCAGCCCCGGGCCCGCGCCCGCCGGAGACACCACGAACUCUGUCUGAUCUAGUGAAGUCUGAGUUGAUUGUAUCGCAAUCAGUUAAAACUUUCAACAAUGGAUCUCUUGGUUCCGGCAUCGAUGAAGAACGCAGCGAAAUGCGAUAACUAGUGUGAAUUGCAGAAUUCCGUGAAUCAUCGAGUCUUUGAACGCACAUUGCGCCCCCUGGUAUUCCGGGGGGCAUGCCUGUCCGAGCGUCAUUGCUGCCCAUCAAGCACGGCUUGUGUGUUGGGUCGUCGUCCCCUCUCCGGGGGGGACGGGCCCCAAAGGCAGCGGCGGCACCGCGUCCGAUCCUCGAGCGUAUGGGGCUUUGUCACCCGCUCUGUAGGCCCGGCCGGCGCUUGCCGAACGCAAAUCAAUGUUGACCUCGGAUCAGGUAGGGAUACCCGCUGAACUUAAG
rnacentral:rRNA from 1 species